rnacentral:rRNA from 1 species
GAUGAACGCUGGCGGCGUGCCUAAUACAUGCAAGUCGAGCGAACUGAUUAGAAGCUUGCUUCUAUGACGUUAGCGGCGGACGGGUGAGUAACACGUGGGCAACCUGCCUGUAAGACUGGGAUAACUUCGGGAAACCGAAGCUAAUACCGGAUAGGAUCUUCUCCUUCAUGGGAGAUGAUUGAAAGAUGGUUUCGGCUAUCACUUACAGAUGGGCCCGCGGUGCAUUAGCUAGUUGGUGAGGUAACGGCUCACCAAGGCAACGAUGCAUAGCCGACCUGGGAGGGUGACCGGCCACACUGGGACUGAGACACGGCCCAGACUCCUACGGGAGGCAGCAGUAGGGAAUCUUCCGCAAUGGACGAAAGUCUGACGGAGCAACGCCGCGUGAGUGAUGAAGGCUUUCGGGUCGUAAAACUCUGUUGUUAGGGAAGAACAAGUACGAGAGUAACUGCUCGUACCUUGACGGUACCUAACCAGAAAGCCACGGCUAACUACGUGCCAGCCGCCGCGGUAAAAC